rnacentral:tRNA from 1 species
GAGCCGCUAGCUCAGACGGUAGAGCAUCUGCCUUUUAAGCAGGUGGUCGAUGGUUCGAAUCCAUCGCGGCUCACCA